GACGAAACGCUGGCGGCGUGCUUAACACAUGCAAGUCGAACGAUGAAGGAGGAGCUUGCUCUUCUGGAUUAGUGGCGAACGGGUGAGUAAUACGUGAGUAACCUGCCCUUGACUCUGGGAUAAGCGUUGGAAACGACGUCUAAUACCGGAUACGACCUUCAGCCGCAUGGCUAGGGGGUGGAAAGAAUUUUGGUCAAGGAUGGACUCACGCCCUAUCAGCUUGUUGGUGAGGUAAUGGCUCACCAAGGCGAUGACGGGUAGCCGGCCUGAGAGGGUGACCGGCCACACUGGGACUGAGACACGGCCCAGACUCCUACGGGAGGCAGCAGUGGGGAAUAUUGCACAAUGGGCGAAAGCCUGAUGCAGCAACGCCGCGUGAGGGAUGACGGCCUUCGGGUUGUAAACCUCUUUUAGUAGGGAAGAAGCGAGGUGUAUUACACUGAGUGACGGUA
rnacentral:rRNA from 1 species